rnacentral:rRNA from 1 species
UACAGAGGGUGCGAGCGUUAACCGGAAUUAUUGGGCGUAAAGCGUACGCAGGCGGCUUUGCAAGUCAGGUGUGAAAUCCCCGGGCCUAACCUGGGAACUGCAUUUGUGACUGCAUGGCUAGAGUUUGUCAGAGGGGGGUGGAAUUCCACGUGUAGCAGUGAAAUGCGUAGAUAUGUGGAGGAACACCGAUGGCGAAGGCAGCCCCCUGGGAUGUGACUGACGCUCAUGUACGAAAGCGUGGGGAGCAAACAGG